UACGAAGGGGGCGAGCGUUGUUCGGAUUUACUGGGCGUAAAGGGCGCGUAGGCGGCGGACCAAGUCGAGUGUGAAAGCCCCGGGCUCAACCUGGGAGGUGCGCUCGAGACUGGUUUGCUAGAGUUCGGGAGAGGAGCGUGGAAUUCCCAGUGUAGAGGUGAAAUUCGUAGAUAUUGGGAAGAACACCGGUGGCGAAGGCGGCGCUCUGGACCGAGACUGACGCUGAGGCGCGAAAGCCAGGGGAGCAAACGGGG
rnacentral:rRNA from 1 species